GACGAACGCUGGCGGCGUGCCUAAUACAUGCAAGUAGGACGCAGUUGCGAACGGGGGAGUAACGCGUAGGUAACUACCUAUUAGAGGGGGAUAACUAUUGGAAACGAUAGCUAAUACCGCAUACUAGUAGAUGGACCUGCGUUGUAUUAGGUAGUAGGUAGGGUAAUGGCCUACCUAGGCAACGAUACAUAGCCGACCCGAGAGGGUGAUCGGCCAAACGGGGACUGAGAAACGGCCCAGACUCCCACGGGAGGAAGCAGUAGGGAAUUUUCGGCAAUGGGGGGAACCCUGACCGAGCAACGCCGCGGGAGGGAAGAAGGGUUUCGGAGCGUAAAGCUCUGUUGUUAAGGAAGCGGUACUUAACCAGAAAGGGACGGCUAACUACGUGCCAGCCGCCGCGGUAAUUC
rnacentral:rRNA from 1 species